rnacentral:lncRNA from 1 species
AAGCGAGCCCUGAGAAGCAGAGGAAGGGAGAAAGCAACGGAAAUCCUACCUACGCAGUUUCCCAUCACUGCGACUGAUAGCUGGGAUCUUCCACUGAAACGGAAGGAAGAAGAGUUUCUCUCUGGCUCAGUCUCAGAAGAUUCAGACCACGGACCUUGGUCCUGUGUCUCUGGGUCUAUGGUGGCACAGCACAUGUGGCGGGGACAUGUGGCACAGAACUGAUCAUCUCAUGGUCAGAAGCAAAAGAAGUUCUUGCCCUAGAGGACUGCCAUCCUCUCCCUUUGGCCCGGA